AGUGAACGCUGGCGGUAGGCCUAACACAUGCAAGUCGAGCGGCUGCACGGUGCUUGCUUCUUCUUUCGGCUGCGGAGUGGUGGGUGGUGCCUGAAAAUCUCCCUGUUUGUUGUUUCUUACGUCCUAACGUAGGCGCUCUUACGCCAUUAGCCCUUACGACGUACGUGUGAGAGCUUCGGACCUCCCGAUAUCACAUGAUCCUAUGUCCGAAUGUCGGAUUAGCUAGUUGGCGGGGUAAAGGCCCACCAAGGCGACGAUCCGUAGCUGGUCUGAGAGGAUGAUCAGCCACACUGGAACUGAGACACGGUCCAGACUCCUACGGGAGGCAGCAGUGGGGAAUAUUGGACAAAGGGCGAAAGCCUGAUCCAGCCAUGCCGCGUGUGUGAAGAAGGCCUUCGGAUUGUAAAGCACUUUUGGUGGGGAAGAAGAGCAGUAGGUUAAUACCUUGCUGUUUUGACGGUACCAACAGAAUAAGCACCGGCUAACUUCGUG
rnacentral:rRNA from 1 species